UGAUGUGAUAAAACUAUUCAACCAGAAUUACAGUGAAGCUUGUGGGAAAACGUGCCGAGUACCUUAUUUAAAAGGAGGAUUUACUGUUACUGGUUUGCCAGAAGAAAAGAUGACGAUUUAAAAACUAUAUCACAAAAAUUGCGACAAUUUGUUGGAUUUUGUCGUGAUUUAUUAAAAAGUAAAGAAGAAAAGAAAAAAUC